UACGAAGGGGGCUAGCGUUGCUCGGAAUUACUGGGCGUAAAGCGUGUGUAGGCGGCUAUGUAAGUCGGAUGUGAAAAGCCCCGGGCUCAACCCGGGAAGUGCACUCGAUACUGCGUAGCUUGAGUACUGGAGAGGUUGGUGGAAUUCUCGGUGUAGAGGUGAAAUUCGUAGAUAUCGAGAGGAACACCGGUGGCAAGGCGGACCAACUG
rnacentral:rRNA from 1 species